rnacentral:rRNA from 1 species
UACGUAGGGGGCAAGCGUUGUCCGGAAUCAUUGGGCGUAAAGAGCUCGUAGGCGGUUCAGUAAGUCGGGUGUGAAAGCUCCGAGCUCAACUCGGAGAGGCCACUCGAUACUGCUGUGACUAGAAUCCAGUAGGAGAGCGUGGAACUCCUGGUGUAGCGGUGAAAUGCGCAGAUAUCAGGAAGAACACCAGCGGCGAAGGCGGCGCUCCGGGCUGGAAUUGACGCUGAGGAGCGAAAGUGUGGGUAGCAAACAGG